rnacentral:rRNA from 1 species
ACGGACUUCGGUCUGGUGGCGAGUGGCGAACGGGUGAGUAAUGUAUCGGAACGUACCUUUCAGUGGGGGAUAACGUAGCGAAAGUUACGCUAAUACCGCAUAUUCUGUGAGCAGGAAAGCAGGGGAUCGCAAGACCUUGCGCUGAUUGAGCGGCCGAUAUCAGAUUAGCUAGUUGGUGAGGUAAAGGCUCACCAAGGCGACGAUCUGUAGCGGGUCUGAGAGGAUGAUCCGCCACACUGGAACUGAGACACGGUCCAGACUCCUACGGGAGGCAGCAGUGGGGAAUUUUGGACAAUGGGGGCAACCCUGAUCCAGCCAUGCCGCGUGAGUGAAGAAGGCCUUCGGGUUGUAAAGCUCUUUCGGCCGGGAAGAAAUCGCAUAGGUUAAUACCCUGUGUGGAUGACGGUACCGGAAUAAGAAGCACCGGCUAACUACGUGCCAGCAGCCCGCGGUAAUACGUAGGGUGCGAGCGUUAAUCGGAAUUACUGGGCGUAAAGCGUGCGCAGGCGGUUUUCGUAAGACAGAGGUGAAAUCCCCGGGCUCAACCUGGGAACUGCCUUUGUGACUGCGAAGCUAGAGUAC